GGGAUCAUUACCGAGUUAUACAACUCAUCAACCCUGUGAACAUACCUAUAACGUUGCCUCGGCGGGAACAGACGGCCCCGUAACACGGGCCGCCCCCGCCAGAGGACCCCCUAACUCUGUUUCUAUAAUGUUUCUUCUGAGUAAACAAGCAAAUAAAUUAAAACUUUCAACAACGGAUCUCUUGGCUCUGGCAUCGAUGAAGAACGCAGCGAAAUGCGAUAAGUAAUGUGAAUUGCAGAAUUCAGUGAAUCAUCGAAUCUUUGAACGCACAUUGCGCCCGCCAGUAUUCUGGCGGGCAUGCCUGUUCGAGCGUCAUUACAACCCUCAGGCCCCCGGGCCUGGCGUUGGGGAUCGGCGGAAGCCCCCUGCGGGCACAACGCCGUCCCCCAAAUACAGUGGCGGUCCCGCCGCAGCUUCCAUUGCGUAGUAGCUAACACCUCGCAACUGGAGAGCGGCGCGGCCACGCCGUAAAACACCCAACUUCUGAAUGUUGACCUCGAAUCAGGUAGGAAUACCCGCUGAACUUA
rnacentral:misc_RNA from 1 species